GAAAGGUGGGACGCGCUGGGGGAGUCCUACUCCCUGCGCUCUCUAACGGCGCGGCGCCAGCACUAAAGAGGGCGGGCGCGGCCUCGGAGGUGACGUCACAGCUAUGUGAGGGCGGGAAGGGGCGAUGGCGGCGCUGAGGGGACGGGGAUGACGGGGCACCUUCAGGCGGGGCAGGGGCUGUGCAGCGCACACGAGUGUGCGGCACACACAGGGCAGCCCCCCAAUCUGCCGCCGCACCGCUGCGGACUGACUGUGCACACGGAGCAAAAACCAACACACAAGGACCGCUCCAGCAUUCCAGAAUUGCCGUGACAUUACAGAACUCGGAGUGCAUUCAGUUCUUUCUAGGAAGACGCAUAAUACUCAUGUUUAUGCACACUAAAAGUCCAUCACACCUCUCCUUGUGUGACAGGUGAUAAAACUGAACCACAGUAAUUCUUCCUCUGCCUGAACACUGCCACAGACAACCACUGGGCGACAGCACCCGAGAGCCAAACCAAAGGAGCGAGGAGAGGGAUCAUUUCCAUCAGUACUUCACAUAAUUGCCCUCCACAUCCUCGACACCGAAUGACUUUGCUCCUUAGCACCCCAGACACUUCAGUUAGGAACACGAGAUCCCUCACUGAGGGUUCCAAAGCCCAGAGCCACAGCCAGAGCAGUGGAGCUCAGCAGCAGCAGGACAGUGGGAUGUGUAUUGGGGAAAAAAAACCCCAGCGCUGACAAGUCCAAUUAAUAUUUCAACAAAACUGAAUGACAGAAUUCUGUAUUCAAAAACAGUUAAAUACAGAGAUCCGACUACCAAGCUCAUGCAUUAAGUCAUCCACGAUGAACCAGAAGCAGCGGUGACAACAGCCCAUAAAAGAAUUGGCAAGCGUAAAAUGGAAAUGACUUUUACAAAAAGGUGCUGAAAGAAUGGGAUGUUAAAUGAAGAUACAGGAUCACCUACAAGAAAACUGAUCACCAUCUUGGAAUGCUGCUGAAGGCUAAAUUCCAACCAUCACUGUCAGCUGGCUCGUGAGACCAACUUCUUGAUUGAUACAUGGUCUGAGAAACUCAAUCACUGUCAGCCUCUUCUUACAGCGUUUUCAUGGGAAUAUAUUCUAUAAAGUUUCAGCCUGGAGAAACCCCAAGGGGGGAUUAUUGCUCAGAGCUUUAAGGAUGGGAUCCACGCAUAUCCACACAGGCUCUGAGCACACUUACCCAUGUUGGCCAAGAGCCCAGUGAUGGCCUGCACAUCUGCCCCCAGGUACACAUCACUCAGUGUUGUCACCACAGGUAAGCACAUGGUGUGCACACGAAUUCGCCUUUCACCUGCAGGAAAAGAAAAGUGUUGUCUUCCAACAUACUUGUUUUAUGAAAUACUAAAAUGCCACUGUUUGCUCAACCUAAUUUAUCAUACAGAUGGUGAAUCAGGCCAUUUCCAGUAGCCCUUAAAAAUGAUUAGUUCUCAGUUUCUGGGUUAAGCCUACUUAUUUUCAGACCAAAACUAUGUUUCCCAAGAAACUUCUUGGUCUGAAAGAAGCAACAAUUUCAACGACAUACCCAAUAUUGUGAUCCUGAUAUUAAAUAAAGCAGUUUGACUAAGUUACUGCAGCUGAACUGCAGCUGAUAAAUGGACACAAAGACUCAUGUGAACACUGCAGGUGACACCACCUGUACAUCUUACCCUUGCUGGAUGUGUACAGGAGAGCUGACUGGAAAGAAACAACUUGCAUAUCAGUCAGACUCUCCUCCACGGACAUUUGCACGGCGUAUCCCGCAUCCGGGUUCACGUUGGGUAACGACAACAAGUCCGUGGAUCUUACGAAGAAGUUCCCAUGGAAAGUAUGGAUGGAAAGCCCUGCAAGAUAAGCAAGGAUUGAAUCAGUUUGGGUUUCAUAGCUGUGAAAUACAGACACUGUUUACACAUGUGCCACCAGUGUAGAUGGAUCUGUGUUAGAAUGUUCCCUCUCAGUGAAAUACAGUAUCUGCAGAAAAGGCAAAUAUCCCAAACACACAAGUAAUCCAAAGAAUCCACACAGCCUAAGAGAAAGCAGGAAUUAGCAAGGCAAAUCAAUGCACAAUAGUAGAAAGUCUCUAGGUUUUAAAAGGUCCCUUGCUGAAAUAGCAGUCCAACAAAAUUUCCAGUUUUAACCAUUGUAAAAUGGAACUUAGAUGCCAGAAAAUACACUGCAAAUACAGUCUUUAAUAAAUUGCCUGAUCUCUGGUAUUGAAUUUGACUUUUCUAAUCUCUACCUUUUAAGCAUUUAAGCUUACAAAUCAGCUAAAAUACCAAUGAAAACAUUCCCAAAUAACAGCAAACACCCACUUCCUCUCCGCCCCAAAAAUCUAAG